GACGAACGCUGGCGGCGUGCUUAACACAUGCAAGUCGUACGACAGCAUUCCUUUUGGGGGUGUUUGGAGUGGCGAACGGGUGAGUAACACGUGAGUAACCUGCCCUCUUCUUUGGGAUAACGUGCGGAAACGUGCGCUAAUACUGAAUAUUCUUAUUCUGCUGCAUGGUGGGGUGGGGAAAGGACUGUGGGGUCUUUAGGGGCUUUGUGGUUUGGUGGGGGAUGGGCUCGCGGCCUAUCAGCUUUGUUGGUGGGUGAUGGCCUACCAAGGCGU
rnacentral:rRNA from 1 species